rnacentral:rRNA from 1 species
UAAUAAGUAAAAUAAAUUAUUUAAGUAUUAAAUGUGAAUCAUUAAAUAUAAUUAAUUUGGCGGCAUUUAAUUUAAAUUAGGGGAAUAUGUGAAUUUAAAUUGAUGAUCCACGAUAAGAGGAACUUUAAAAUUUAUUUUAAGUAUUGUUGUUUUAAUAAAAUUUUAAAAGAAAUUUUUAGAUUUAUUAAUGUUAAUAAUAAUUCAAAUCAAUGUUUAAAAUUUUAAAGAAUUUAUGUAUUACAAUAAUAUUAGAUUUUAGAUUUAUAUAUUUUAAAAUUAUGAUGAAAGAGGAUUUAAAAGUAAAAUUAAAAAAUUUUUUAAUUUGAAAUUUAUUUUUAAAUGUGU